GACAGUUUCAGCUAUUCACCACUAAUCAUACGCCACUUGCUUAAAAGAACACUGUAGGCACCCAGACCACUUUAGCUCAUUGAGGUGGUCUGGGUGCAUUGACCCAUGUCCCUUAACUCUACAGUGGUAAUUAUUGCAGUUUUUAGUUUCACGCUAUGCAUGAGGACCUCCAGUGUCAGAUUUUACCCAUAGGAAAGUAUUGCCGCACAUGCGCCCUAGGUCUCUCCCACCUGCUGACGUUGGAAGGGGAGAAGCGUAGGCGGAGC